rnacentral:lncRNA from 1 species
GCUUGACAUGGGCUUUUGAAACCUCAAAGCCCACCCCCAGAGACACACUUCUUCUAACAAGGUCACACCUCAUAAUCUUAAUUCUUUCAAAUAGUGACAUUCCCUAGGGCCAUUCUUUUUUUUUUUUUUUGUAUUUAUGUACAGAAAACUUAGCGGUGAUUGUACAUUUAACCCAGUUUAGUAGAGAGUUCUUUAGCCUUUGCCUUGUCCAGCUUGUCAAUUUGAGCCACAGAUUUAGGACCCAGGACAUUGCCUCCCCAGUGGCGUUGGAUCUCAUCAUAGCUGUCGUAAUUGGUCCUAAUAGCUUCCACCAGCUUAGCCAGAGCACCCUUGUCUUCCGAGUUAACCUGUGUGAAGGCAACGGUGGUACAUGUUUUCCUGUGGGCAAGCUUGAGCAGCUGGGUAGCUGUUUGCCGGUCCAGGGCCUGGGUGAACUGGUUAAUGGCAGGAGGAACUUUAAGCCGCUUAUAGAGGAUGGCCCUUUGCCGCUGCAGCCGAAUGUACAGGGGCCAUUUGACGAAGCAUGUGAGGUCUUGUUUGGGCUGGAUGUCCUGCCCAAUGCCGAAGUUCUAAGGGCUCUUCUCAAACAAAGGGUUCACCACCUUCUUGGCCUCCUGUUUCUUCACGAUGGCGGGGGCCGGGCCACCUUCUUCCCCUUGGCCUUCUUUUCCUUGGGCAUCUUGCUCGGCUGCAGAAGAGAGAGAGAGGACCUAGGGCCAUUCUUAUUCAAACCAUCACACUACCUUUCCUGUAACAGAAUAACCUUUGAAUUUCUUUUCUUGGUUUGGCAUAAAGGGACUUUUGCUUGUUUCAGACUGUUUCUCUAUUCCUAGGUACAUCCCUCCUUCAUUCCUAUAGUUAACCUUAAUCUAGUUCUAUGGUACUCAUGUUUUGCUCCAUUACACCAUAUUCUAUAUUAAUGUUUCUCAACCUUCCUAAUACUGCAACCCAUUAAUACAGUUCCUCAUGUUGUAGUGAUCCCCAACCAUAAAGUUAUUUUUGUUGCUACUUCAUAACUGCAAUUUUUCUACUGUUAUGAAUCUUAAUGUAAAUACAUGUGUUUCCAAUGGUUUUAGGUGACUCCUGUGAAAGGGUCAGUCAACCCCAGAGGGGUCUCCACCCACAGGUUGAGAACCACUGUUCUAUAUUAUUAAAGUUCAGUUUUUGUCCAUCUGGGAGAGGUUAAUGUGUUAAUAUACUAAUAAUUAUU